GACGAACGCUGGCGGCGUGCUUAACACAUGCAAGUCGAACGGAAAGGCCCUGCUUGCAGGGUACUCUAGUGGCGAACGGGUGUGUAACACGUGUGUGUUCUGCCCUGCACUUCGGGAUAUGCCUUCAAAACUCUGUCUAUUACCCCGUAGGAGCCCUUCUGAUUCUUAUUGUGGGAUGGUUUUUUGGGUCUAGGAAGGGCUCGCGGCCUAUCCGCCUGUUGGUGGGGUGAUGGCCUACCUACGGGGCGACGGGUAGGCGGCCUGGGGGGGUGGACGGCCAAAGUGGGGCUGAGAAACGGCCCAGACUCCUAAGGGGGGCAGCAGUGGGGAAUAUUGCACAAUGGGGGCGAGCCUGAUGCAGCGACGCCGCGUGGGGGAUGACGGGCUUUGGGUUGGAAACUCGUUUCGGUAGGGACGAAGCUUUUUGUGACGGUACCUGGAAAAGAAGCACCGGCUAACUACGUG
rnacentral:rRNA from 1 species